rfam:Picoides pubescens contig8270, whole genome shotgun sequence.
UGGAGGACUGAGAAGGUAAGACAGUUAAGUUUUACGCUGUAUCUUACUGGUUAUAGCCUCCAAAAUUACAACAGUGCAAUGGCAACUCGUGUUCCCCUUCUCACAUGAGGGAAAGCAGUACUGUAUUUGCAUAUAAAUC